AGGAGAUGAGCGAUUGAGAGACGACGAGAGAUUAAGAGUUGGAAAGGUGUUUGCUUUAGGAGAGAUUGAGAGAGGAAGAGGUCUGUCUUCGUGAGGAAGACGAACGAAUCCUUUGGAUUUGUUUCAUGUUUCCAGUUCAUUUUCUUUUUAUUUAUUUUAAGAGCAUUUAAAAUCUCUUUAAGAAAUUAAAUGACCGUUUAGUUUUUUUUUGCAAUUUUCCAUUAACUAUUGUCUGUUGGAGUUAAU
rnacentral:lncRNA from 1 species